GACGAACGCUGGCGGCGUGCUUAACACUUGCAAGUCUAACGGAAAGGCCCUGCUUUUGUGGGGUGCUCGAGUGGCGAACGGGUGAUUAACACGUUAGUAACCUGCCCUUGACUUUGGGAUAACUUCAGGAAACUGGGGCUAAUACCGGAUAGGAGCUCCUUCUGCAUGGUGGGGGUUGGAAAGUUUCGGCGGUUGGGGAUGUACUCGCGGCUUAUCAGCUUGUUGGUGGGGUAGUGGCUUACCAAGGCUUUGACGGGUAGCCGGCCUGAGAGGGUGACCGGCCACAUUGGGACUGAGAUACGGCCCAGACUCCUACGGGAGGCAGCAGUGGGGAAUAUUGCACAAUGGGCGGAAGCCUGAUGCAGCAACGCCGCGUGCGGGAUGACGGCCUUCGGGUUGUAAACCGCUUUCGCCUGUGACGAAGCGUGAGUGACGGUAAUGGGUAAAGAAGCACCGGCUAACUACGUG
rnacentral:rRNA from 1 species